rnacentral:rRNA from 1 species
CCUACGGGAGGCAGCAGUGAGGAAUAUUGGUCAAUGGACGCAAGUCUGAACCAGCCAUGCCGCGUGCAGGAAGACGGCUCUAUGAGUUGUAAACUGCUUUUGUACGAGGGUAAACGCAGAUACGCGUAUCUGUCUGAAAGUAUCGUACGAAUAAGGAUCGGCUAACUCCGUGCCAGCAGCCGCGGUAAUACGGAGGAUUCAAGCGUUAUCCGGAUUCAUUGGGUUUAAAGGGUGCGCAGGCGGGCCUUUAAGCCGGCGGUGAAAUCGCGGGGCUCAACCCCGCCGAGCCGUCGGAACUGGGGGCCUUGAGUGCGGCGGAGGCAUGCGGAAUGCGCGGUGUAGCGGUGAAAUGCAUAGAUAUCGCGCAGAACCCCGAUUGCGAAGGCAGCGUGCCGUGCCGCCACUGACGCUGAGGCACAAAAGCGCGGGGAUCGAACAGGAUUAGAUACCCCAGUAGUC